UCUCACUGCACCCCUUCUGCAGGCCUAGCA
rnacentral:piRNA from 1 species